rnacentral:rRNA from 1 species
GGGUCAGGAGGUUGGUCGUGCCACCGGUACGUACUGGUCUCACUGAUUCCUCCUUCCUUAAGACCCGUAAUGCCAUUAAUUUGGUGUUGCGGGGAAACAGGACUGUUACUUUGAAAAAAUUAGAGUGUUUAAAGCAAGCUAACGCUUGAAUACAUUAGCAUGGAAUAAUGAAAUAGGACGAUCGAUCCUAUUUUGUUGGUUUCUAGGAUUGACGUA